AGGCCUCCAUGCCUGUACGUCGAUCAUCGUGGGCAGGAGUCUCUCUCCUUUGCCUGUAUAUCUCAGCGUCCAAUCCAAUACACCAUCAGUUUCUGUGCAGCAAUUAUCUCGGAAGACCUGGCUCCUGUACUAGGCUCCAAGCCCUAAGUUUGGACUCAAACCAUUCCAGGGAUGAUUUGGCGCCGUCACCGGCUCCAUGACUUCUGCCAAGCUGCCUGAGCAACAGGUGCCUCGAGGGACGACGAGGACACAUUAGCAGCACUGCGCUAAGAACUAAGAGAUGGCCACGAGGCUAACUCUGCCUUGUGUGCGCCUCAGUCGGCCCCUCCCCAUUUGCAGGAUGAGCAUCCGCUUGCAGUCCGACAGUUUUGUCUGUGUUCCUCUGUACUCAGGGCCCGUCAUAUGCCCAGAUGAGGCAGGGCUCCAACACGCACGGUGGAGGUAAGCUAAGCUUUGCUGAGAGGCCAGGGGUCCGGCCAGAAAUGUGUCUGCCCUGCAGUGGGACUGAGCAACCGAGACCAAAGUCGCCCUUACACUCUGAAGGGAUGCAGAAACACCAGAAAUCCUGCGGGUGGAAGUGGACCCACAGACAGCAGUUCCAGGAGGACUCAGCUUUGAUGUGGAAGAAUUGUGAAUUUGGAUCCAAUCUACUGAGCACAGGAUAGCCAGGGAGCCCAUCCAGCAGAGGAAAGAUGCUGCCAGGGCUGAGAGACGGCUCCGCGUGCCUUCCGCUGCUGCCUAGUGCCCUGCUCCUGCUGUGGCUCUGCCCUGCUGAGCUGUGAGCUCCCAGCCUGCUGUCUGCUUCCGUGUGGACCGGAGGCAGGCCAAGGGCAAGGACUCAACCCCAGUCCAGGAAGGGUGCGGUCACGUUUGUGGUCUGCUCCAGCCCUCGUGUCCCCACAGACGUAUGGGGACACCAGUGCGUCUGACUGCAGAAGUGCGUGCUCUGUCUUCAAGCUUACGACUCAGGAGAAUUCUCUGCUCUUAGACGCAUCGCUAUGAUUAGAAAGUGUUAGUUUGCAUGUACUGUUAGCAAUAGCAGUCCCCCCGAAAUGCAAUUUUUGAUGAAUGUUGUAAUCUAAGGAAAUAAAUCCCUCGUUUUCACA